rfam:Camelus ferus unplaced genomic scaffold scaffold434, whole genome shotgun sequence.
GGGUAUAUAGCUCAGUGGUAGAGUGCACACCUUGCAUGCAUGAGGUCCUGGGUUCAAUCCCCAGUAUCUCCA